AUUGAACGCUGGCGGCAGGCCUAACACAUGCAAGUCGAACGAGUGGCGGACGGGAGUGUAAUGUCUGGGAAACUGCCCGAUGGAGGGGGAUAACUACUGGAAACGGUAGCUAAUACCGCAUACCAGCGGAUGCUCCCAGAUGGGAUUGGCUAGUAGGUGGGGUAACGGCUCACCUAGGCGACGAUCCAUAGCUGGUCUGAGAGGAUGACCAGCCACACUGGAACUGAGAAACGGUCCAGACUCAUACGGGAGGCAGCAGGGGGGAAUAUUGCACAAUGGGCGCAAGCCUGAUGCAGCCAUGCCGCGUGUGUGAAGAAGGCCUUCGGGUUGUAAAGUACUUUCAGCGGGGAGGCGUUACUCGCAGAAGAAGCAUCGGCUAACUCCGUGCCAGCAGCCGCGGUAAUAC
rnacentral:rRNA from 1 species